rnacentral:lncRNA from 1 species
AUGCUAAGCUCUUUGGGGGCUUGCAGAGAACGAAGCCCUGUUAGAGACCAGCCCCCUUCCAAGAUCUUUGUCCAAUAUCAAGAGACAGAGGAAGAGUCCCAAAAACCCUCGUUCCAGCCUGUCUCUCCAUCAGGAGCCCCUGGCAAACCAGAACCUCAGCCUGCAGUCAGGGCCAAAGUCCCAGAACAAUCUCAAAUACUCUCAGAGGUAUCUUAUAAAGCAGUAGACCUCAAGACCCAGCAAUGUAGUCAGCCUGUGCCAAUGAUUGUUGUGCAAGAGUAUGAAGAGGAGAAAAGUAGUCCACAACCACAAAUGCAUCCCUCUGUGCAAGUGAAAGACUCUCAGUCCAUUGAAGUUAAGUCAGAGAAAGUUGUCCAUGAUCAAACAAAAGUCAACAUAGAGCAUCAUGUAGAAAGCCAGGAAUCUUUACCACAGUCUGUGACACAACAACAGACAGAAAAAAGUCCAGUAGCUGGCCAACCCUCACAGAACCUACAACAAGCAGAGUCACAAGUACAUAAUAAACAACAAUUAGCAACACAGGCCCAUGUGCACAUUCAUCAACAAGAGAAAACUCAGCUUGCAAAACAGCAGAAGGUUCAACCACAAGUUUCAAUCCAGUCACGGCCUCAGGGCCAACUAGAAGCACAAACACAGCAAGCUCCAAAGCAGCAGAGGAAAGUAAAGAAGUCCCAGGCACAUCUGCAGAACAGACCUUGGCUUCAACAGAGGAGUCAACCGGAAAGAGUUACCCAAAACGCAGUGCAACAGUUGGUCCCACAAUCUCAGUCAGAGCCUGAGGACAAAUGUCAAAUAAGUUCUCAAGCACCACCACAGCAUAUAAUAGCUGUUUGUUCACCUGCGGCUCAGGGACCUGCUCAAGGCACAGCACAGUCAAAAAGCAUUGGUAAGAGUGAUGAGAAUCACCUGAAGCCAGCUCAGUCUGUUGCACAAGAGAAACCUCUUGUAGAAACACAAAACACACCUCAAACUGUGCCAGCAGUUUCAGCACAACCAGUGACUCAAAAACAACCACAAAAGCCAGUGACUGUUCCGAUUCAUCAACAAGUAUUGCCCAAACCUCAACCCUCUUUAUCAACUCAAGCUCAAACAACUACACAACAAACACUAGCUACUGCACCCAUUAAGCAACAAAAGCAACUUCAAACACAGAUAGUGACACCACAGCAACCUCAAGUGAUGAUCCAGAAACAGGCACAAUCUCAAUCCAUGACUCCAAUGCAACCCCAGGUUAUGGCCCAAUGGCAGCCACAACAGACAAUUGCUCAGCCUCGUCCUGCAGUGCCACAACCACAAAUAUUUCCAGUGGCCCAAACAAUGCCUCAAAGGCCAGUCCAACAAUACCCAACAUCUCCCAUUCAACCACAAAUAACAAUGCAGAGACAACAGUCUCAGUCCCAGCAAACCACAAUGCGCAAUCCGACUAUUAAGAAUCAUCUCUAUGCCUCGACCCCAGAUGCCUGUUCAAUCUCAAACUCCGGUCAAAGCACAGGGAAGUGUACCACAUGUGAUUCAACCUCAGGGGCAACCCCAGUGGAGUCAACCAGGAGAUGUCACCCAAACGUACCCCAGAGUGCAAGGACCAGUUUCUGUAGCUGCCCAAAUGCAGCCACUGGCCCAUUUCCAAACUCAUCCCCAACCUCCAAGUAUCCCUCCAACUCAGCUUCAGCAGUGGUCACCAAUAAGACCAGGCUUAGUAAGCCAGACAUACCCAACUGUCCAAGUUCCAGGUCAGGUAGUUCAAUCUCAGCCUCAAAUGGCAGUUUACCCUAA